rnacentral:rRNA from 1 species
UACGUAGGGCGCAAGCGUUGUCCGGAAUCAUUGGGCGUAAAGAGCUCGUAGGCGGCCUGUUGCGUCCGCUGUGAAAUCCCGGGGCUUAACCCCGAGCCUGCAGUGGAUACGGGCAGACUAGAGGUAGGUAGGGGAGAAUGGAAUUCCCGGUGUAGCGGUGAAAUGCGCAGAUAUCGGGAGGAACACCGGUGGCGAAGGCGGUUCUCUGGGCCUUACCUGACGCUGAGGAGCGAAAGCGUGGGGAGCGAACAGG